GAUGAACGCUGGCGGCGUGCCUAAUACAUGCAAGUCGAACGGGAAGCAGCAAUGUUUCUAGUGGCGACCGGGUGAGUAACACGUAGCUGACCUGCCCUACCGCGGGGGACAACAGUCCGAAAGGAUUGCUAAUACCGCAUACGCUCGGAGGAACUAAAGUACUCUGAGGAAACUUACGGGGCGGAAGGAGGGAGCUGCGGCCCAUCAGGUAGUUGGUGAGGUAACGGCUCACCAAGCCGACGACGGGUAGGGGGCCUGAGAGGGUGGUCCCCCACACUGGAACUGACACACGGUCCAGACUCCUACGGGAGGCAGCAGUAAGGGAUAUUGGUCAAUGGGCGAAAGCCUGAACCAGCAACGCCGCGUGGAGGAUGAAGGCCUUCGGGUUGUAAACUUCUUUGGUAGGGGGACGGAUAAUAGACGGUACCCCUCGAACAAGUCACGGCUAACUACGUG
rnacentral:rRNA from 1 species